GGUCUCUUCCUGCUGCCUCCACUUCCCCUUUCUCUUGAGCAGUCGCCUCUCUUUGUUUUCAGGGGGUCUCUCCACCUGAACUUUCCCUUCUAUGCCUGAGAACUUGAGCUCUUUCCUCUCUACCUUGCCGACCUCAGGCUUUGUCUAAGUGACAAGACACAGUUGUGUGGACUGUAGUUACCGCGCCGGUGCUGGUGGAGAUGAUGACGGCGAUGGUGGAGAUGGGGUGCUGAUGGCUGGGGAGCGCAGGCUGGGCGGCGUGGCAAGAGGAUGGACCGCGGAGGCGGUGAAGAGUGGGGUGCAGAAGGGAUGGAGUGCAGUGGGAUUGCAGAUGGGAGCUGUCCACGCGCAGAAGUGCUGAAACGCCGCAGCCAUGGCACCGCUAGAGCGGGGACGGGCGGGGAGGCUCUGCGAACACAGAAGGAAGAAAAAGGCAACAAAUACCUUCACACCGCCGCCCAGGCUUGCUUUGAGAAUGUGUUUCUGCAGGUGUCCUCGCGGCUGAACUGGGUGGGUGAGAUCCCCUAUCCUGGCAGUUGAAGCUCAGAUUUCUCUAGAAAGCUGUGAAUGAGAGCCCGGGCUGCACGGGGCUGUGAUUUGGGUAGGAGGCGUGUGCGCCAGAGACUCUGUCCUUCCGUACCAAGCCUGGCUUUCCCCUGGGUCCUAAAUGCCUCCGCAGGUUGGACUCACCCAUUCUGGCAAUACAGUACUAAGGAUUGUUGUAAUCUUUUAACAACUAGGACAAAAAGUACUGGAAACCACCACUCUCUACAUUUAAGGCAGACUAUUUUAGGCAGAUUAUUUCAAAUUUCAAACAAAUGGUAAAGCACCAUAUGCCUAUGGAAAAAUAAUUAUUUUUAUUAGCAAAUGACAUGACUUCAGAAAUGGGCUGUUGGAAAAGGAUCAAUUUAAGGCUCUAUCUUGUCAAAAUAAAAACAGGCUGCAAGAUAUUCUGGAUAAAAGCUUCAUUUCUGAAGAGGAAAGACAAAGAGAAAUGUUUGCAAAAUAGAAAUGAUGGAGACAAGACACAAAUGUAGCAUCCAGCCCCAGCCACUGCUCCUCAGGUUGGCAGGAGCAUUGGGUAGCAUGAAGGCCUGAGUAAACGUGCUUUCUGCUAAGGUGACUCAGUCUCCUUCCGUACAUGUGCCUAAACUUGCCAUAUCUAUUUAAAAACUGAAUGUUGAUGAGUCUCUUUCCACUAUUCCUACUAUAUAGUUCAUCAUGAUGUUUAAUCUUCCAGCUUCCACACCCCACGUUAUUGCAUUCCCCCCUCUCUCUCCUCCCCUCCCCUCCCCUGCCCUCCCCCAAUUGUGUUAUACAUAACUCCUGGGGCAGAGGAGAGCUCCACUUUGUUCACUGCUGCUUGGAGGGCUGUCUGGAAUGUCACGGUACUUCAAUAAAUGUCCUGAGUGGGAGAGUAAAUGGAUGAGUGACAUAACCCACAACACAUAUAUGUGUAUUUAAAGUAUUUUAUGACGCUAUGAAUUUUGUAUAGGAAUUGAUCUGAAUAGGCUUGGCACGUCGAAAUGGUCUUCAGGGGAUGGCGAGCUUUCAUUGUUUAAGCUUAGUUAGAGGGGUGCCUUCAAAGGUACAGCUCAGCUCAUCGCAGACACGUGCAAAGACACCAAACAAAAACGUAUCCAAAGAAAACACUUUUGCUAAUUAAUUCCCAUUAUGCUGUUUUCAGUCAUGUACAUGCAUAACUUAAUCAUUUCUCAGCCUCGCUCUCCACCUCUGAUCUACUUCCUGUACUGGAGUAGUCCCUGUCUUCUUUCAUGUCAUUCUCCUUCCAUUGUUUUAGAGUCGGCAUAUGAGAAAAACAAGUAGUAUUUGUAUUGUCUCCCCUGACUUACUUUACUUGACAUGGUGAUUUCCAGUUGCAUCCAUUUUCCAGCAAAUGACAUAGCUUCAUUCUUUUUUAUGGUUAAAAUAAUGUGAUUUUUCUUUCUCCAUGAAUUUCCUAAGGGGCACCUAGGUCAGUUGCAUAUAUUGGUUACUAUGAAUGAUGACAUAGUAAGCUUGGUUGUGUGG
ensembl:lincRNA